GCCCGCUGAAAGUCACCUGCGGCCUUGCCCGUGGCCAUGGGUGAGACUCGGUGCCCAGAGCAUGGGGGCUUUAGCUCACCGCCCACUUUUGGUGUGGGGAGGUGAAACCCAGGCCCCGACAGCG
ensembl:snoRNA